UUUCCGUAGGUGAACCUGCGGAAGGAUCAUUCAUAAUAAAGUGUUUUAUGGCACUUUUUAAAAAUCCAUAUCCACCUUGUGUGCAAUGUUAGAUCUCGUCAAUCUUGGCGAGAUUUUUAUACAUCAACUCAUUCUUUAACUAAUUUGUCUGAAAAAUAUUAUGAAUAGUUAAUUCAAAAUACAACUUUCAACAACGGAUCUCUUGGCUCUC
rnacentral:misc_RNA from 1 species